UGGGCCUCUCCACAGAGCAUCUCACAGUGGGGCAGUUGGUCUUCCUCAGAGUAAGUAAGGAAGAAAGAAAGAGAGUGAGCAAGAUGGAAGCCAGAAUUCUUCAGUAACUUAAUCUCAGAAAUGACAUCUCAGUUGUUUUGCUGUGUUCGUUUGGUUACAAGAGAGUCACUUCUAGCAGAGAUGGAAUAAUAGAGACCAGAUGUACCCUCCCAGCUGAAACAACAAAAAAAUACAGAACAAAAUAUAUAAAAGAAUGGUUUUCAAGGUACUAGACAUCACACAGUGAAGGACAGUGAUCCCAGAGAGAUGAGAAACAAACAAGGGUGGGAAGAGAGAUCAGCAACGUUAACUGGGUGUCAAGAAAACAUACCGAGAUUGAAGCCAUCCACUUCUGCAGGAACACCGAAAAGAAAGCUUACAAUCUGAAGGUGUCCGUUCCUACACUGGUCAGACCACUGUCCUUGGGGCAGCUGGGGUCUUUGGGACCCUCCACCGGGC
rnacentral:lncRNA from 1 species